GUGACAUUAUGGAGCAGUUCUUUGAGUCUUCUCUCUUCAAUCUACAAAAUUUUUGUUAUCUGUACUGGGAUUUGAAGAAAAAAAAUAAGCAGUUGGACGUCAGGAGUGUCUUUGCAUGUAUGUAUACUAAGUAUAGGUAAUAUAGUAUCUUUCAAUUUAGCGGCUGGAGCUCUUUUUCAUCUGUCAUAGUUUCAACGCUUCCAAG
rnacentral:misc_RNA from 1 species